AUUGAACGCUGGCGGCAUGCUUUACACAUGCAAGUCGAACGGUAACAGGCCGCAAGGUGCUGACGAGUGGCGCACGGGUGAGUAAUGCAUCGGAACGUGCCCAGUCGUGGGGGGUAACUACUCGAAAGAGUAGCUAAUACCGCAUACGAGCUAUGGAUGAAAGCGGGGGACCGUAAGGCCUCGCGCGAUUGGAGCGGCCGAUGUCAGAUUAGGUAGUUGGUGGGGUAAAGGCUCACCAAGCCAACGAUCUGUAGCUGGUCUGAGAGGACGACCAGCCACACUGGGACUGAGACACGGCCCAGACUCCUACGGGAGGCAGAAGUGGGGAAUUUUGGACAAUGGGCGCAAGCCUGAUCCAGCAAUGCCGCGGGCAGGAAGAAGGCCUUCGGGUUGUAAACUGCUUUUGUACGGAAGGAAACGGCUCUGGUUAAUACCCGGGGCUAAUGACGGUACCGGAAGAAUAAGCACCGGCUAACUACGUG
rnacentral:rRNA from 1 species